GUCUACAGCCGCCACCACCCUGAACGCACGAGAUCUCGUCUGAUCUCGGAAGCUAAGCAGGGUUGGACCUGGUUAGUACUUGGAUGGGAGAUCGCCUGGGAAUACCGGGUGCUGUGUGCU
rnacentral:rRNA from 1 species